rnacentral:rRNA from 1 species
UACGUAGGGACCAAGCGUUGUUCGGAUUUACUGGGCGUAAAGCGCGUGUAGGCGGCUACGCAGGUCCGUUGUGAAAACUGGAGGCUCAACCUCCAGACGUCGACGGAAACCGUGUGGCUAGAGUCCGGAAGAGGAGAGUGGAAUUCCUGGUGUAGCGGUGAAAUGCGCAGAUAUCAGGAAGAACACCAAUGGCGAAGGCAGCUCUCUGGGACGGUACUGACGCUGAAACGCGAAAGCGUGGGGAGCGAACAGG